rnacentral:rRNA from 1 species
UACAGAGGGUGCAAGCGUUGCUCGGAUUUACUGGGCGUAAAGCGUACGCAGACGGUAUGGCAGGUCGGGUGUGAAAGCCCAGGGCUCAACCCUGGAAAUGCACUCGAAACCGCCACACUUGAGUAUAGGAGAGGGAAGCGGAAUUCCUGGUGUAGAGGUGAAAUUCGUAGAUAUCAGGAGGAACACCGGUGGCGAAGGCGGCUUCCUGGCCUAUUACUGACGUUCAGGUACGAAAGCGUGGGUAGCAAACAGG